CGCUGUGCCACAGGUGAUAUUCCGCCAAAAAAUCUGUAUGCCAUGGGCACUCCAACCCUGUUCCUGUAGCUACCCCAGUGCUUAAUUUGGGAAACCAAGUGAAAUCUGUUCGGGAACAUCGAUAGUAACAUGUUUUCACAACGAAACCCUAGCCUAUUAAUUUAAACUGUUGACAGCCACUCUCUGCGCGCUGGAGAAAGGAAUGAAGGAUAUGUAAACUCACGGUGGUGAAAUAUUCUGUAGCUAUAUGUAACCGAUGUGAAAUGGCUAGUUAGUUAGCGGUGGUGCGCGCUAAUAGCGUUUCAAUCGGUGACGUCACUCGCUCUGAGACUUGAAGUAGGGUUGCCCCUUGCGUUGCAAGGGCCGCGGCUUUUGUGGCGCGAUGGGUAACGAUGCUUCGUGGGGUGUCAGUUGUUGAUGUGUGCAAGGGUCCCUGGUUCGAGCCCAGGUUGGGGCGAAGAGAGGGACGGAACCUACACUGUUACAUAUAGGAGGGGUGCGUCACUUGAGUGGUUUGAGUCACUGACGUGAGCUUCCUGUCCGGGUUGGCGACCCCCCCCAAUGGGUUGUGCCGUGGGGGAGAUCUUUGUGGGCUAUACCCGGACUUGUCUCAGGAUGACCUGAGCCCUUGGACCAUACCUCAGGACUACCUGGCCUGAUGACUCCUUGCUGUCCCCAGUCCACCUGGUCGUGCUGCUGCUCCAGUUUCAACUGUUCUGCCUGCGGCUAUGGAACCCUGACCUGUUGCUACCUUUCCCAGACCUGCUAUUUUCAAUUCUCUAGAGACAGCGGGAGCGGUAGAGAUACUCUGAAUGAUCGGCUAUGAAAAGCCAACUGACAUUUACUCCUGAGAUGCUGACCUGUUGCACCAUCAACAACCACUGUGAUGAUUAUUAUUUGACACUGCUGGUCAUCUAUGAACAUUAUAACAUAAAAUAGCCAAGAUGUUCAAAUCUCCACCCGGCACAGCCAGAAGAGGACUGGCCAUCCCUCGUUGCCUGAUUCCUCUCUAGGUUUCUUCCUAGGUUCUGGCCUUUCUAGGGAGUUUUUCCUAGACAUCGUGCUUCUACACCUGCAUUGCUUGCUGUUUGGGGUUUUAGGCUGGGUUUCUGUACAGCAUUUUGUGACAUCAGCUGAUGUAAGAAGGGCUUUAUAAAUAAAUUACAUUGAGUAGUACACAGCGUUUGUCACGCCCUGACCUGAGAGAGCCAGUUUUUCUCUGUUUGGUUAGGUCAGGGUGUGCCAUGGGGUGGGCAUUCUAUGUGUUGUAAUUCUGUUGUUUUUUCCUUUGAUUGGCCUAGUAUGGUUUCCAAUCAGAGGCAGCUGUCUAUCGUUGUCUCUGAUUGGGAAUCAUACUUAGGCAGCCCAUUUUCCCACAGUUAGAUGUGGGAUCUUGUCUUUGUUUGGUUGCAUGUAUUUUGCACUACGAAGCUUUUCGUUCGUUGUGUUGUUUAUUGUUUUUUGCUGGUUCACCUUUAAAAUAAAAGAUGAUGAAGUCAACUCACUCUGCGCCUUGGUCUACCUUGAACGAUGGACGUUACAGCGUUGUACGAGAUCUUCAGUUUCUUGGCAGUUUAUCGCAUGGAAUAGCCUUCAUUUCUCAGAACAAGAAUGGACUGAGUUUCAGAAGAAAGGACUUUGUUUCUGGCCAUUUUGAGCCUGUAAUCGAAC
rnacentral:lncRNA from 1 species